rnacentral:misc_RNA from 1 species
UGGCUCUGGCAUCGAUGAAGAACGCAGCGAAAUGCGAUAAGUAAUGUGAAUUGCAGAACUCAGCGAAUCAUCGAAUCUUUGAACGCACAUUGCGCCCGCCAGUAUUCUGGCGGGCAUGCCUGUUCGAGCGUCAUUUCAACCCUCAAGCCCUGCUUGGUGUUGGGGCCCUACGGCUGCCGUAGGCCCCGAAAACUAGUGGCGGACCCGCCGCGGCUCCGAGCGCAGUAGCUUAACCUCGCUCGUUGCCCCGCGGUGCGUGCCGGCCGUUAACCCCCCAACUUAUCAAGGUUGACCUCGGAUCAGGUAGGAAUACCCGCUGA